UACAGAGGGUGCAAGCGUUGUUCGGAAUUACUGGGCGUAAAGCGCGUGUAGGCGGCGGCGUAAGUCGGGUGUGAAAUCCCUCAGCUCAACUGAGGAAGUGCACUCGAUACUGUGUCGCUUGAAUGUCGGAGGGGAUGGCGGAAUUCCCGGUGUAGAGGUGAAAUUCGUAGAUAUCGGAAGGAACGCCGGUGGCGAAAGCGGCGUGCUGGACCUCUUCUGACGCUGAGGCGCGAAAGCCAGGGGAGCAAACGGG
rnacentral:rRNA from 1 species